AAAUGAUCCUUUUGGCUUAGAAUUAAACGGACUACUUUGAAAAGACCAAUGAAAAGAUCUUUUUGGCUUAAAAAUGUUGCGCCCAUAGGUGACACCCAUCCCACAUUCAUCGCAGUUAUGAUGCCACCCUCCCUAACCUCAGGGACUCCAUUAAUAGUCGAUGGACGGCUUUGACUAGCUGCAUGGGAGGACAAUGCACCGAGCCCAAACUCAUAACGCGCGCUAGCACGCGUAUUGAUGCCACCUUUUACUAUCACUAGCCACACCACAUUACUAGCAUUUCCUAUAUUUGUAUUUAUGUACGCAAGUGUAGGCGAAUACAAGGAUUAUGGGACGCAAUCAAGACCCUAACUUGUUUGUGCGCAUGACUAAAUUAUGUUGCAUUGAAUGACUGGAAACGCUUAUUUGAAACCAUUUCCAAAAUCUCGAGCGGGAUUUGAACUCGCAUCUUCGGUCUAGAUGCCCGAAGUUUGACGGGGAAGUAUUCUGUGAUAC